AGUGGGGAAUCUUGCGCAAUGGGCGAAAGCCUGACGCAGCGACGCCGCGUGGGGGAUGACGGCCUUCGGGUUGUAAACCUCUUUCAGCAGGGAAGAAGCCGCAAGGUGACGGUACCUGCAGAAGAAGCACCGGCUAACUACGUGCCAGCAGCCGCGGUAAUACGUAGGGUGCAAGCGUUGUCCGGAAUUAUUGGGCGUAAAGAGCUCGUAGGUGGCGGGUCACGUCGGGUGUGAAAGCCCGGGGCUUAACCCCGGGUCUGCAUUCGAUACGGGCUCGCUAGGGUCCUGCAGGGGAGACUGGAAUUCCUGGUGUAGCGGUGAAAUGCGCAGAUAUCAGGAGGAACACCGGUGGCGAAGGCGGGUCUCUGGGCAGGUACCGACGCUGAGGAGCGAAAGCGUGGGGAGCGAA
rnacentral:rRNA from 1 species